rnacentral:tRNA from 1 species
GGGCGGUUAGCUCAGUUGGUAGAGCCUCUGUCUUACAAACAGGCGGUCACUGGUUCGAGUCCAGUACCGCCCA